UACAGAGGGUGCGAGCGUUAAUCGGAAUUACUGGGCGUAAAGCGUGCGUAGACGGUUUCGUAAGUCGGGUGUGAAAUCCCCGGGCUCAACCUGGGAAUUGCAUUCGAAACUGCGAGGCUAGGGUACGGAAGAGGGAAGCGGAAUUUCUGGUGUAGCGGUGAAAUGCGUAGAUAUCAGAGGAACAUCAGUGGCGAAAGCGGCUUCCUGGUCCAGUACCGACGUUCAGGCACGAAAGCGUGGGGAGCAAACAGG
rnacentral:rRNA from 1 species